CCGCCCCCUCAAGACAAAGCCAUUGGCUAGAAGCCGUGGCCAGCUGCUACAAUAUGGUGUGUUAGUGUUUGCUUGUAACCGCCUGCUGCUAAAGCUCCUAAGCGUUCCGUCGCCAAAAAAAGUGGCGAUGCGUGAUUAGGGCGACCCUGCAGACGCUGCGAGACGAUUACAACACGCUCUCUUCUUUCAUAUCCAAUACCGGAAAAGGAGAGAGUAAUAUCAGCCCCAUAUCCUUCUCCUGGAAGCUGCAGUUCCAGCCCGAGGCUCGUUUGACCAAAUUAAGCUUUGUUCAACGAAUUCCUCACCGGCGUCAUCUUUGAUCCAUUCACAACACCAAGUCGUCCUCAGGUCCGGACAGGGAUGGCAAGACCAGCAAUACACAACAAGCGUGCUGCCUUCAAGCCGUACCCGGAAGUCGGGAAUUCCGAGUACCCAGACUGACCGCACCUUGGUCUCAGACUCCCCCCGCUUGGAACCCUCGACCUAAGCUUUCAAAAUACAUUGGACAGGAAGUGAAGGGCUGCAGGGAUACCGACCAGACGACUGCAGGACCACCCAAGCGUCAAAAACUGUCCGCGGAUUUAUGGAAAAUAACGGAUCAUCAACGGUUGACCGCAGUAGACAAAAAACACUGAUUCAGGAUCAGCAAUGCGAGCUAAAUGUAACCGCUGCAUGUCAUUUUUGCUAGCUUGAAGCGGUGAAGGUCGGACAAGCUAUGAUGAAGUGUUCGGCUGAACAUUGUUUAUUUAUGCUCACCUUUGUCAACACAGCCACGAUAAUUGUCUUUAAAGAGGUCUUCCACGUCUCCGUAGUUUUUUUUAACAAUAGUGUGUUCUUCGCUUUUGAGAACACAGACGUGUUUGUUGAUGCCACGGACUACUUCCGCAAAUAACCCAUGACGUCAUCGCUUGCGCGUGGAAAAUUCAAUUUAUUUUUUUUUGUGCCGAUUUAUACAUUUUACAUGUAUUAUAAAAUAAUAAUUGUAUUCAUAAUUGUUUUUUAGGAUUUUCACAUAUCGUUUAAAAUCCAAAUAAAAUUCACUAGUAUGUAUUAUAAAAUAAUUGUAUUUAUAAUUAGUUUUUAUGACUUUCACAUCUCGUUUAAAAAUCCAAAUCAAAUUCAAAGCCAUAGCUAUUUAUGUAACCUAUUUUUAUGGGCUUGCCUCUUUGUGGUGUUAAGUUCCUGUUAUACAGUAUAUGCCUUGAGCUCUUAUUUUGAAGGCGCUAAGAGCGGAAGUGGUGACACCUGGAGUGGAGCGGAGGUUUUGAAAGAAAGCUAAUAAAGUGGUCCUCUUGUAAAACGGGAGCCUAAUAAUAAUUAGAAAAGUAAUCGCAUAUUUCUCAGUUGUGAACCCACUUAUCGUAGCAUAUUCACUUGUAAUAAAUCUUGUGGAAAUGGAAUAAAAACGUUUGUAGCGGCACACUUUCCUACCCCCCCACCCCCCUCCACACCCCUGAUUGUAAAUAAUGUAAAUAAUUCAAUGUGAUUAUCUUGUGUGAUGACUAUUAUGAUGAUAGU